rnacentral:lncRNA from 1 species
AAUUAAAUUUAUCUAGGAAACUCUUGGGCAUUUCCAAAUAGAAAAGUCUCAGGUGAUUCUUUUUCCGAUUACACGGUGAAGAUUGUGUGAAAAAUAUUCAGUGAUUCUCUCCGUAGAGAAGAAAAAAUAGGAGAGGAAAUUUUGAAGCACCGCAGAUCAGAUACAAGUUUUUGCUGUUCGACCAUUCAUAUGCCUACUUCCUCGGAGGCAAAUUGGAGUGCCAAAAUUAUUGUCUUCGAUUAGUAUGUUUUUAAAUUGAGAACCUGAAGAAAAAGUUUGUCUGAUCAUGAGAUAUGGUAACCAAGUAUUGAUAGUGAGAUGCAUUGUGCUUUUAUAAUGGCAUUGUUAUCCUACAUCGAAACUCGAUCGCAAAUGCCUGUACUUUCACUUAUUCUUACCCUCUCUUUUCCCAGAUUAAGAGUAUGUCUAUUUUUUACUUAUUUGUGGGUGCUAUUUUAAGCUUUUAUCCACCAAAUGAAUACAAAAAUUACAAAUUAUUGCACGAGCGUACAAGAACCAGUAAAUAAACCAAUAACCAAAACAAUUAAAUCAACAUAAUAGUCAGCGAUUUAUUCCAGGAAUAUUAUAUAUUACAUAGUUAAUUUAAGUAAAUGCUUUUAUAUCGAUAAAUGUUACUUUAAACCCUUUUGAAACUAGUGUUUCACAGGCUUGGCAUUCAAACUUUUCUGUAAACCCCUUUUCAAGAUCGUUUAUUAUGAACUUGGCUUUCCUCAAAGUAACGUCUGGUUUUUUUUUGUUUUGUUUUUUUUUUCCAGUCCAUGUGUGCUAGGCAUGCUGUGGAAAGUCACAAGUAAUGAUGCUGACAACAUGUGUGUCACUCUUUUAAAUAACUGGCUUCCUGGAAAAUCCGCAGAAAUAGCAAGUUUCAUCUCGGGGAAAGUUGAGAUCGUAGUCAAAUCUGAGCCGGAAUUAUUACGCUCUCUGAGGUUUGCCCGGGAAUCUUGUGUCUACUAUGUUAAUUCUGCAGGACUUGUAGUUUAUGGAAUUCCUGUUAAAUUCUCCUGAAGUUUAUUUGCAUGUUUUUUUUAUGAAUUCCCUU